AAAACUUUCAACAACGGAUCUCUUGGUUCUGGCAUCGAUGAAGAACGCAGCGAAAUGCGAUAAGUAAUGUGAAUUGCAGAAUUCAGUGAAUCAUCGAAUCUUUGAACGCACAUUGCGCCCAUUAGUACUCUAGUGGGCAUGCCUGUUCGAGCGUCAUUACGACCCUUAAGCCUAGCUUAGUAUUGGGAACCUACGUGCGGCAGCUACCCUGUAGCUACCCUGUAGCUCCUUAAAGACAACGGCGGAGACGUGGAGUCCUCUGAGCUUAGUAAACUUUUUCUAGCUUCUGAAGGCGCCGCGGCCCCUGCCGUAAAACCCCCCAACUCUUUAGUGGUUGACCUCGGAUCAGGUAGGAAUACCCGCUGAACUUAAGCAUAUCAAUAAGCGGAGGAAAAGAAACCAACAGGGAUUGCCUUAGUAACGGCGAGUGAAGCGGCAACAGCUCAAAUUUGAAAGCUGGCCUUCGGGUCCGCGUUGUAAUUUGUAGAGGAUGCUUUUGGUUAGGUGCCUUACGAGUUCCCUGGAACGGGACGCCUUAGAGGGUGAGAGCCCCGUACGUUUGGUUACCGAGCCUCUGUAAAGCUCCUUCGACGAGUCGAGUAGUUUGGGAAUGCUGCUCUAAAUGGGAGGUAAAUUUCUUCUAAAGCUAAAUACCGGCCAGAGACCGAUAGCGCACAAGUAGAGUGAUCGAAAGAUGAAAAGCACUUUGAAAAGAGGGUUAAAUAGCACGUGAAAUUGUUGAAAGGGAAGCGUUUAUGACCAGACUUUUUCCUGGCGGAUCAUCCGGUGUUCUCACCGGUGCACUUC
rnacentral:rRNA from 1 species